CUAGUCCAUUUCAUUCGAUUUUGUUUUAUUUAUUUAAUAUCGUCUUCAUUUUGACUUCAAGUUUUCAGUUCAAGUGAUAAAAAAAUUAAUCAGUUUUUAGAGACGAAGACUACUUUAAAUUAAACGUCUCUCGUUAUACUACGAGCAAUGCUUUCGCAAUAAGUUCUGCACUGUUGAUUUGGAUUGCACAAUGGCAAAAAUAUCUGUUAAAACUAAAAUAGCUAAUCCAUUUACUCUCCUUCACUCGGCCAUAAAUUUGCUGUAUCACUCAUUCAUUCAUCACUAAAGUUAAGCAUUUAGAUUUGCUCAAUAACACGAAAACAAUCCAUCUCGUGUUAUUUUACGAGUCUGAUUUGUUUGUAUAAAGUAUGUUGCGAGGCGUCAAUUGCCACUUUUUCAAUUUUGUAUGUACGUAUCUGUGCCUGCCUGCCUGCGAAUUGUCAAGCUUCUUGAGGUUAACUCGAUAUAAAAAAUUGACAGACAAUUGACAUCCCAUCGACUAAAAAUAAUAAAAAACGCCUUGAAAUUUAGGUGUUUUCCGCCCUAUUCAGCUUGCGUUUAAUAAUGAACGGGUGAGCAAUCUGUUUUUUGCGAGGACAGGAAAGGAACUCGUCGUAAUGUAAAUAAUAAUAAUAAAAUGAGACGACAGAAGCUAGUUAAUAAUUUUUUGGGUGUGAUUUAGCAGAGAGAGUGACAUUCAUCUCGAUCGUUAUGAACAAUUUGUUUGCGACCCUUGUUGUUGUUGCUCAAUGGGACGUGCCAUAUUAAUGGUGAGAGUUCGAGGUUAAUUGAAAUAGUGGAGGUUAGGUUGUGGUUAAAAAUGUGGUGGAAGUACAAUUUUUGCGGCAUAAAGAGUCACAUAAAGACAUGCAUAAUUUGUCGUAAAUUUGUAUUUACAUACAUACAUUUUCAAAAAAUGUGUAGUGUUUAUACUAACACAGGAUCAAAUUUUGUCGCAAUUUGCAGAUUUUUGGUGGAAGUAUGUACACACGACAAUUUUUGCCAUAUAAAGACAUUCAUAAGCUUUCGUAAACUUGAAUUUACAGAUACAUACAUUUUCCAAAUUCUUGUACAGUCUACAUUAACACGGAUCAAAUUUUGUCGUAAUUUGCACAUUUUUGAAAUGACAUCACACAACCAACUUUACUACUAUACUUCAGCCAUAAACAUAAUCAAUCUCAUCCUGAAAUGAAACACGACCUCCCAUCAAAUGUCAAGUAGACGAUUUGUUUUUUUAUUUCUAUUUUUUGCCCUUGAUGGUCACUAGACUUUGAUGCUUUUGCAUGAUGCUCAUCUUCUUAAGCUACACACACAUGUUAAAGAUUGAACUUUGAUAACGUAUAAUUAAUGACUGUUUGAAUUUGCAAAAGUCCUGACUUGGCUUGACUCCUGUCAAUGUCACCGCUCUCCAAUGUGUAAUUAAUUUGGAGGAGAUCACGAACUCUUUUUUGGUGGUGAAGUUGCUUUUAAAUAAACAUGAACCAUACAUUUUAACCUUUUAUUAACCCUUCAAUUUGUGAGGUUAGUUUGGAAAAGGUGAAGAAGGUGAAGAUGAAGAUGGUGAGACUGCAUUCUUGAGAUAAGAUCCACUUCAUUUUCCGUCUACUACUCUUCAUGGAGGGGAGUGGAGUUGGUUGGUAUCUUAAAGAUUGAUUUAACUAAGCUGGGUAAUGUGAUUUGAUUGUAUGCAAAUUCAAUUUAAUGCCCUCAGUUGAACGAGCCGUGCAUAUGCCCACAAAACUAGCCGGGUAGUAGUUCAGGUAAAUGGAACUUCUCAAGGCAAACUGGUCCAAAAUUUGAAAACCAUUUCCACUUCAUGUACGUAUGUAAAGGUGUACCGUGUACGUAAUUACUUUUUAGUUGUUAAUUAUUACGUAAGUAAAAGGGUAGAUAAGGUUAAGGGUCGAGUUUCCUUUGAAAAUUGAAAUGUAAAAAUUAGUCGAACUUGUUAUUUGAGAUGUUUACCAGUAGUUUUAUUAUGCAAAAUGGAAUUGAAUAAGUGAUUAUAGGUUGUCAAAAGAGGAGUUUGAUCAAAUCAAAUUUUAAUAAAAAUGUUGCAAAGUAA